UCAUUUAGCAAAAUCAUGGAUUUUGGAGCCAAGAUAUUAGACAAGUUGCAGGCUUUACCAACCCCAUUAAAUGUCUUUCACCUAUUUAUUGAUAAUUGGAUGUUAUUUCAACGCAGCUCAUUCGAUCAUUUUGAUGACUUUGGCGAUCCCUACAUCAGCCAGAUCUUCUUGAUUGAAAUGUCAACGGGUCGAUACAUCCACAGAUCCCAAGGUCAGACCGUGGAUCGUGGAACAUCUCUCGAUUUAGAGGCCUUAGCCUCAAAACUGACCCAAGUGUUCCUUGGCACCCAACCUUGCCAUGGGUUACCGUUUCAGAACAAGGCCUUGGUUUCAAAUACUCUGAACAUCCUGGAAUAUCCUUUCCGGCGAUAUGCAUCUGAACAAUGCCAGUUCUACUUUAACGUUUCUGAGAUGAAGUCUGAAUCCAUUGAUGACGAAACCAAGCCUUUAUCUCGUUGUCCUGCCUGUCAAGAGGCGUGGCAAGAAGCCAGAGCGAUUCCCGUUGACUCUGGAUUCGGUGAUGACAUUCUCAAGAUGGAUCAAGAUGAUCCAGUUGAACAUCUAGUGAAUUUUGACUGCGACAUCAAUGAAGAUGCGGAUAUUUGGUCGCAUCACACUAAUCUGCGUCCCAAAGUAAAUGAAGUGAAUAACCAAGUACCAGAAGAUACUAUUGCAGAAGAGCCUUCGGAAUUGCGGAAAGCGUACAAGUGCAAAUGUUGCUCGAAAAUAUUUCAAACCCAAUCUGCACUCACUUGCCAUGCUCGGAAACGAAAACAAGAGGAACGAGCCAAGCGAAAAGUAGGCUGUCGAGAAUGUGAUGACUCCGAUAUCGUCACUUUUACUCAAUUAGCCGUACAUGUCGCCAAGCAUCAUUCAAACCAAUUGGCAAAUUACACGAACUUUUUCCCUCAUGAAGAAGAUUUAAGUUUGAUGAAAGAACCCAUGAAAUGCACUGUAUGUGAUAUGAUCAACAAUGGCAGUGCCCUAAGCCAUAGACAUCGAGAGAUCUAUCACGAUCUGGGAGAUUAUUCAUGUGCAGAGUGUCAGGAACCUUGUCUGACUUAUUACGAUUUGGUGGUGCACAAUUAUCAGAAACAUGGGAAAGCAACAGACCACAUCCCACCCAGCCCAAGCUCUUUGAAGGUCAUUGUCCAUGAGGAUGGCAAGAUCGAGUACAAAAAGUCGAAAAUAACCUGCCAAGUGUGUCUGAAAACCUACAGUGGUAGCCUGGGUUUCGUGGCUCACAUGAGAAAGAAACACUCUUGGGGGAUAUUCAGUUGUCGACCUUGUGGAGGCUCUUGUCACUUUGCCAAAGACAUCUCAGCCCAUGUGUUGAACUUUCACAAAGAUAGACCUGAGAUUGAGUGUCCCAAUUGCCAAAGGAUCUUCUGUCUAGAGAAAGAUCCGGGUGUUUUUACGGCCCAUUUCCAAAAGUGUGCUCCUCUUCCGAUCGAAAGGGGACCUUUCCAAUGCCAGUUUUGUGGUAAAGAAUAUGCAUGUAAGAUUAGCUUGAACGCCCAUAUCAAAAUGCACCAAGGAAUCAUCAAGUUCAAAUGUCAGUACUGUGACUUUGGGUCAAAUCAUCGGAAUGUGUGGGUGACCCAUGAGAAGAUGCAUCUUCGGAAAUUGGGAUUGUGCCCGGAAUCUGAGGAGCAUAGACAAACUCAGCAAUGUGAUAUAUGCGGAAAACAGUUGGCCAACCGAUUGCAAGUCAAUCAACAUAUUCGCGCCAUGCAUAAAGGAUAUAAAAGGACGUUCCAAUGUAAGAUAUGUGGAGAGUUCUUGAAGUACUCGGCCGCUCUCUACAAGCACAAGAAGGAGCGGCACGGAUAUGUGCCGAAAUCGGCCAAAUUGACUAAGUGAAGGACAAAUCGACCCAGUGGACAACUCAACCCUUUGAUGUUUGGAAAGUUUUUAGUGCUGGAGAGAGUCAAGACAAAUCCAAGUUUGCUUGAGUCUUUUACACGAUUUUGGAUAAAUUGGCUGGACUCAAGUCUUUUAGAAUGGACUGGAGUCUUCACUUGUCAAAAAAAAGAAGAAGAAAAAUCUUGAAAUUUGCUUGGAAAACUGGCUUUUCUUUGACAUUAUUUGACCAUGUAAGAAAGUGGCCUUUGUUCCGUGCACAAUUGAGUACAUCAUCCUAAUAUGUUAAGGAUAAAUGAUGUACAGGAAGAACAAUUGGUUACGGAACAGUGUUAUUGAACAUCCGGGAAAAAUGAACACCCUGUGUAACAAACAAUCACCAGCGUGCCCAAGCCAUGCUGAAUUGGCGGGCCCAGGCUAUCGUGAAACGGCGUCCAAGCUGUCUAAAAUUGGCGGGCCCCAAGCUAGCGUGAAUCAACAAACCCACGCCAUCGUGAAACGGCGUGUCUAAGCUGUCUUAAAUUGGCGGGCCCAGGCUAUCAUGAAUCGGCGGACCCACGCCAUCGUGAAACGGCGUGUCCAAGCUGUCUCGAAUGAACACGCACAAGCUGGCUUGCCAAGGCUGCCCCAUUUGACGAAAAACAAAUGUCCAAAAAAGGGCAGUCACCAUUGAUCAUUGAAAGAGAUAACAACUCCCCAACUUGAACUUUCUUGCUGGUAGUUGAAUCAAGGACAAUUUUGCUAGAAGUGCCGGAAGUCGAGUUGACCUAUUUUGAAAUCAGAGGAGUGAGAGUCAACGCUUGGAGUCGGGACCCAGGAAGCCGUGCAAAGUCAAGAGGACCUGGGGAAGUGCAUUGCAUACAUCAUUGAACCAGCAUAGACCUGUUUAAACAGUCUCUGGAGCUGAGUACAGGUGCAACUUCUGAGUCAUUCUCCGUCAAUUCGAUCCUGGACCUUCAAUCCGAUCGAUUCGACGUCAUCGCCGUGGUAUCCCCGUUGGACGCAAGAAUCACCCUCGUCAAAAGUAGGAUCUGACCAUUCUCUAUCCAUUCCAAUCGAAACACCAUAAACACACCUCAAGAUAAUCGAAGACAUGGAUCAAGGAGUGGAACUCGUCCAAAGACUACAAAGCUAUAUACCAUCGCCCAAACUUCUUUAUUUUGUGAUGGAUGAUUGGCUCUUGGUUCAUAGAAACUCCUUCGAUCAUUUUAAUGAAGACGGCGAACCAUUCAUUAGCCAAGUGUUCCUCAUCCAGAUCAAGACCGGUCACUAUAUUCAUCGAUGCCAAGGCCAGAAAGUGGACCAUGGAACCACAAUCGAUUUGCAGGUCUUGACGGCUAAGUUGACUUAUGCUUUUCAAGGAACGAAACCCUGUCUUGGGUACUCCACACGAGAAGACGAUGGUGUUGAUGAUGGUGAUCCCUUAAGUUCUACGACAACACUUGAUUUUCCUUUCCGAAGAAAGACCUCUAGAAAUUGUCAGUUUUAUUUCGAGGUUCCAACUAUCAAGUCCGAAAACAACGAAGCUGGGAAUGAACGGUGUUCCCCUUGUCAAGCGGUUUGCCAAGAAGUUCAUUCCAGUUCCAAAAAAACCACUUAUGGUCAACUUGAUGGUUCUGAUUUUGCCCUCCAAACUGAUGCUCAAUCUAUAGUCGUCGAUAUAUUAAGGAUCAAGCCCGAAAACGAACUUUUGGAUGAAAAAGACGGUCUCGUGUGUCAAAUCUGUUCCGAGUCGUUUAAAUGUAAAAAAACUUUUACUUGUCAUCAAAGAAGAGCUCAUUCUUGGGGCAGAAUGAGGUGCAAACCGUGUGGAGAAUGGAGUAAUUAUUCCCAAGACAUAUCUGCUCACACGUUACUUUUUCAUAAGGACAAGCCCGAGGUUCAUUGUCCUAUUUGUGACGAAAUGAUCGAUUUGAAAGACAAUCCAGCCGCCUUUGACAUUCAUUUUCCCACGUGCUCCCCCAAACGUGGGCAUAAAAGGCUCUCGAAAAGGCGGUUUCAAUGUCAGCUUUGUGGGGAAAAAUACUCCUGCAAUCGCAGUUUGGAUGCCCACGUCAAGAGGCAUCAAGGGAUCGUCAAGUUUCAAUGUGAAUAUUGUGACUUUGGUGCCAACUUAAAAAAAAGUUUCGAUCGACACAAGAGGAUGCAUCUUCAAAAAAUGGGCUUAUUGACCGAGCCAGACCAUUUGCGCGAAUGUAAAGUUUGCGGGAAAAAGCUCACCAACAAGGAAGCACUUUAUAAUCACAUGCGCAAUGUGCAUCGGGAACAGAAGCCAGUUUUCCAAUGCAACAAGUGUGGGAAGCUUUUGAAGAACUCGUCAGCGCGCACAAAACACAAGGUAGAAGUUCAUGGUCAUGUCCCAAAAUCGAAGGGAUCCAAGUGAGCGAAGUUUGGAUUUCCUGGAGAUCAGAUAUUUGCACCACUAUGAUUGAGUUAUGAAUGAGAACGAUAGAACGACCCUUCUUGACAAAGACACAAUGAUUUUGAUAAAAGAAUAAAAUGUUAACUUGACUUGACGAGUCGAGGGCCAAGAUUAUCGACAAAUAAUUACGAACAUUGGUGAACUUGUA